CAUGGGUUUGCUUGCUGUGAGAAGCGGCAGCAGCCUCGACGCGGCCACCGACAUCGUCAGAAGAGCCUUCUCUUCUGCCUGUGUGUGUGCGUGCAUGCCUGCGCUUGAUUUCGGUGGCUGAUUACAGAUUGAUUGAUUGAUUGCUUCGAGGUUUCGACGCCACAUUGCAGCGUCGUCGAGUGUACCAGCCAUGUCAGGAAGGCAAGGUGGAAAGUUGAAGCCCUUGAAGGCUCCGAAGGGCAAGGAGAAAGAGUACGAUGAGUCGGACCUUGCCAACCUCCAAAAAAAGAAAGAGGAGGAGAAGGCCUUGAAGGAAUUGAAAGCGAAGGCCCAGAGUAAGGGUGCUUUUGGUGGAGCUGGUUUGAAGAAAAGUGGUGGGAAGAAGUAAGCAUGUGGCCAUGAUGCCCUGAAGUUUAUGAUACGAUACAAAAUUGAAGCUAAAGGCACUGAAAGUUCCACUGUUGACCUUCUCAUUAUGGAAGCACCAUACCAAUAGCAAGAAAUUGAUGAGGUUAUUAUCGUAUAUGCUGGUGUUUGUUCUGGUAUUUCUAAAGGCCCUAAUUCCUUACAGAAAACAGCUCUCUGCAUUUUUCAACCAUCGCAGAGGAUUUUAUGUGCUUGUGUUCCUCUUGAUGAGGGGUACUUAACUGUGAGCGACUUUCCACAAUUCGUGUACUGCGACUGCAAUUUGUUGUCAACUGUUA